rnacentral:rRNA from 1 species
GACGAACGCUGGCGGCGUGCUUAACACAUGCAAGUCGAACGGAAAGGCUCCAGCUUGCUGGAGUACUCGAGUGGCGAACGGGUGAGUAACACGUGGGUGAUCUGCCCUGCACUUCGGGAUAAGCCGGGGAAACUGGGUCUAAUACCGGAUAGGACCGCACUUUGGUGUGUGUGGUGGAAAGGUUUUUCUGGUGUGGGAUGAGCUCGCGGCCUAUCAGUUUGUUGGUGGGGUAAUGGCCUACCAAGACGGGGACGGGUAGCCGGCCUGGGAGGGUGGACGGUCACCUUGGGACUGAGGUACGGCCCAGACUCCUACGGGAGGCAGCAGGGGGGAAUAUUGCACAAUGGGGGAAACCCGGAUGCAGCGACGCCGCGUGGGGGAUGAAGGCCUUCGGGUUGUAAACUCCUUUCGCUAGGGACGAAGCUUUUUGUGACGGUACCUGGAGAAGAAGCACCGGCUAACUACGUG